CAAUAGCGUAUAUUAAAGUUGUUGCGGUAAAAAAGCUCGUAGUUGGAUUUCUGUUGAGAGCGACCGGUCCAUACCAUGUAUGCGUAUCUGGCUUGCUCUCGGCAUCCUCUCGAUAGACGUUACUGCGCUUGAUUGCGUGGUGCGGAUCUCGGGACUUUUACUUUGAGGAAAUUAGAGUGUUCACGGCAGGCUUUCGCCAGAAUACAUUAGCAUGGAAUAAUACUAUAGGAUCUUGGUUCUAUUUUGUUGGUUUCUAGAAUUGAGAUAAUGAUUAAUAGGGACAAUUGGGGGCAUUCGUAUCAACACGUCAGAGGUGGAAUUCUUGGAUUGUGUUGCGACGAACUACUGCGAAAGCAUUUGCCAAGGAUGUUUUCAUUAA
rnacentral:rRNA from 1 species